CAAGCAUCCUGAGUGUGGGAUAUAAGGUUCAGCAAUCCUAGUAAGCCUGGAGAAAAGUGUGAGGUGGAGGGGUUAGUCAAACCUAACCAUGAUGCCCUCAGUAUUCAUGGAGCUAAUUGGUGGACGCACACCUGCACGCACGCCUCACUCGCAGCAUCACGAGGCAACACCCAAGCUCAGACAGAUACAAACGCACAGUUGUCGCGACCAGUUCACCUUUGACGUGGCGCGCGAGGUGGUGUGAGGCAAGGCGUCUUCACGGGUAGUACCUGCAGGGGAAGACACAGGAAGAAGAGUAAGGUGGAUGGAAACACUAUGGUGGUCGUGGGGCGUGCUGCUCGUGGCGGGGUGUGUGGGAGGGACCACCACCACCACCACCAGUCGCCCCCCGAGCUCCGUGACACAGCCCAGCGGGGACUUCGAGUGGGAGGAGGAGGCUGACGACAACACUACCUUCAGGGAGACCAGGACGGACGAGGAUGGUUCUCAGAGGCACCCACCAGUAAACCUCAUGAGUCUGUUCGGCGUGGAAGAAAACGAUGUACCGAGAAGGCAGUCUGACGACCGGUGGGAGCCCCUCGCCACACGCCUCCUCCUGCAGACGGUCCAGGCGGACAGUAUCUUGCAGCUCAUCCUUGCCUCCCACGACUCACCGCCGAGACAAUCCUACUACAUUGAUCAUACCAGGAAGCUGAGAAAUGUCACUGAUGACAACUUUCCCUCUGACACGUUCCUGAGCGUGGCGGUGCUGGUGGUGGCGCCUCCCUGCACCAUUCACAACAACAUUGGGCAGAUCACCGCUAUGCUCUUCGUGUUGCCUGACAGACGGCCCCCGAAGAUCACAGUCGAUCAGACGGUUGAUGUGGUGUGUCCGUGCCAAUCACUUUCCUGCUGCGAUGAGAGGGCGUCCCCGCAGACCAAGUUCCAGGCAAGAUACAGGGAACACGGGACACAUCAACAAACACUGAUACACCGAACAAUACCAGGGAAUGCUCAAGACAUGUAGCCUUGGAAUUUCAAUGAUCUGGGAGACGAGAAAAGAAGGCCGGAAGGAAAAUCAAUAUAUUGUUUUAUGUCUAGCUAAUUCAUUGACCAAUUAACUGAGUAACUAUCCAAUUAAAUAACUGACCAUCUAACUAACUAAUGGAUGAACUAAUUUACUAGCUACCAUCCCUUUCUCAGUUGUCAACUGUCCGUAACAAAUUAUAAUUUUUUACUCACUAACGUAUUACAACUAAUUCAUUAAC